ensembl:rRNA 5_8S_rRNA 5.8S ribosomal RNA
GACCCUGGAGGAUGGAUCACUUGGCUCACAUUACGAAGACGAACGCAGCUAGACGCGUGAUUCCAUGCGAACUGCAGGACACAUGGAACGUCUAUAUUUUGAACGCAAAUUGCAUGUCCAGCCUUUGAGCUUGGACUACGUCUGGCUGAGAGACG